rnacentral:lncRNA from 1 species
AUGGGGAUUAUAAACUGGCUGCGAAAACACUCGGGGCUUGUUUCCUCCCCAGACUCUCUUCAGAGCCCUCAGCCACAGCCAGAAAAGGGUAAUCAUUCACCAAUCCCUCCCAGCCCUGGUCCCGAGCACAACGUGAGCACAGCACAGCAGGAGAAACAAAGCAAGGAAGAUUCAUUUAACCGAAGGGUGUCUGUGGACAAAAGCAAAGAUGCAACCCAGGCCUCUUCAGUAAAUGUUGCUGAAAGAGACUCUUGCACUAAUACAUCUGAUUUGGAUUUCCGAGGAAGGGAAGGUAAUCACCAUGAGCAUUCAUCUACAGUGCCUGGGACUGCGGAAACCCGUGGUGCAUCAAAUUAUGCACCACAAUCACAGGCAAACGGAGACAAUCUGCAGACAAGUUCAGAAGGAUACGAGACAUCUGAAGAUAGAAUUCCGCUGGCAGAGAGCUUGAACAGACAGAGUGGCUCACAGAGCUCUGAAAGCCUUUUGUUAAAUGAUAAUCAUGAAGUAGAAUCAUGUUACUCCUAUAAGACUGCUGCGACCUCACCUCUGGAUGCCCUUGAGAGGGAGGACAGAAAUAAACCAAUGUAUCACUCUCUGUCUGUUUGCUCUGACAAACCACCACAGCCUCUUACUCUCAGAGGCUUCGAGAGCUACAUCAGCCCCACACCAAAGGAGAGCAGCACUAACAUCGUGCAGCUCUUAGAGCGAUGCGUAACACAAGUGGCAUCACUAAAACUCGGCUAUGAAAACAAGCACCUGGAAGACAAAUACAUUGGGAAUGAAAUGAACAAUAUCAUUUGUAAGAUGUCUCAGUACAAAAACAAGCUACUGUUGCAAAAUGAAUGCAAUUGUGUUGCUCAAAAGCCAGAAUACCCCAGUAUUGCUUGCACAAACCAAUACAAUUAUGAAACAAGUUUCCAAGCCAGCAGUCUAUAUCAUUUGAAACAAAAUGGGGAGCAAAUUUGCUCCGAGGACCAGAAAGGUAGAGCAAAAAUCCUAGAUGAAGUUGCUAGAGACAAGAUCAGUUUUGAAUAUGCCCAGCUAAAUAAUCAAGCGUUCUCCUAUUUACAAGACUUCACAUUUGGAAGCGAUUCUGCUCCCGCUACAAUGCUCAGCAGGCCAACAUUUUUACCUCUCUUUAACUCUGUCUGCUUAGACAUACCUGCUACUGUUUCAUCAGCUCCCUAUGGCACUGCCAUCCCUCCAGCUGAGUCACUGCAGCACAAGGAGGCCGAGCAGGGCAGCCCAGGGCCCUGGCAUUAUACAGAGUCCCCUUGCAGAUGCCUAGCGGGGGUGACAGCUCUGUCCCCUCACCCAGAGGCAGCAGCCCCGGACACAGCAGUGGUGGGGAGGAACCAGCAAUAA